rnacentral:rRNA from 1 species
GGCUGAAAUUCGCCUUCCAUGAAGCCGGAAUUGCUAGUAAUGGCAGGUCAGCAUACUGCCGUGAAUACGUUCCCGGGCCUUGUACACACCGCCCGUCACACCAUGAGAGUUGGGAAUACCCGAAGCCUGUGAGCUAACGAAAGAGGCAGCAGUCGAAGGUAGAAUCAAUGAUUGGGGUGAAGUCGUAACAAGGUAAC